rnacentral:rRNA from 1 species
UACGUAGGGUGCGAGCGUUAAUCGGAAUUACUGGGCGUAAAGCGUGCGCAGGCGGUUCGUUAAGUUCGUUGUGAAAGCCCCGGGCUUAACCUGGGAACUGCAUUUGUGACUGCAUCGCUGGAGUGCGGCAGAGGGGGAUGGAAUUCCGCGUGUAGCAGGUGAAAUGCGUAGAUAUGCGGAGGAACACCGAUGGCGAAGGCAAUCCCCUGGGCCUGCACUGACGCUCAUGCACGAAAGCGUGGGGAGCAAACAGG